CCUACGGGUGGCAGCAGUAGGGAAUAUUGCUCAAUGGGGGAAACCCUGAAGCAGCAACGCCGCGUGGAGGAUGAAGGUUUUCGGAUUGUAAACUCCUUUUUUUAGAGAAGAUAAUGACGUUAUCUAACGAAUAAGCACCGUCUAACUCCGUGCCAGCAGCCGCGGUACUACGGAGGGUGCCAGCGUUACUCGGAAUCACUGGGCGUAAAGAGCGCGUAGGCGGGAUAGCAAGUCAGAUGUGAAAUCCUAGGGCUUAACCAUAGAACUGCAUUUGAAACUGGUAUUCUAGAGUAUGGGAGAGGUAGGUGGAAUUCGUGGUGUAGGGGUAAAAUGCGUAGAGAUCAAGAGGAAUACUGAUUGCGAAGGCGACCUGCUAGAACAUAACUGACGCUGAGGCGCGAAAGCGCGGGGAGCAAACAGGAUUAGAUACCCCGGUAGUC
rnacentral:rRNA from 1 species